rnacentral:rRNA from 1 species
UACGUAGGGUGCAAGCGUUGUCCGGAAUUAUUGGGCGUAAAGAGCUCGUAGGCGGUCUGUCGCGUCUGCUGUGAAAACUCGGGGCUUAACCCCGGGCCUGCAGUGGGUACGGGCAGACUAGAGUGCGGUAGGGGAGACUGGAAUUCCUGGUGUAGCGGUGAAAUGCGCAGAUAUCAGGAGGAACACCGGUGGCGAAGGCGGGUCUCUGGGCCGACAUUGACGCUGAACGGCGAAAGCUAGGGGAGCAAACGGG